rnacentral:misc_RNA from 1 species
GAUGAAGAACGUAGCGAAAUGCGAUAAGUAAUGCGAAUUGCAGAAUUCAGUGAGUCAUCGAAUCUUUGAACGCACAUUGCGCCCUGUGGUAUUCCGCAGGGCAUGCCUGUUCGAGCGUCAUUUCAACCCUCAAGCUCUGCUUGGUGUUGGGCCCUGCCCGCUGCGGCCGGCCCUAAAGACAGUGGCGGUGCCGCCUGGCCCUGAGCGUAGUACAUCUCUCGCUCCAGUGCCCGGUGGUGGCCUGCCAGAACCCCAACUCUCGUGGUUGACCUCGGAUCAGGUAGGGAUACCCGCUGAACUUAAGCAUAUCAAUAAGCGGAGGA